CUUGGUCAUUUAGAGGAAGUAAAAGUCGUAACAAGGUCUCCGUAGGUGAACCUGCGGAGGGAUCAUUACAGAGACUCUGCCCUUUGGGUAGACCUCCCACCCUGUGUCGUUAUACCUUUGUUGCUUUGGCGGGCCGCGGGGCUUAGGCCCUGCCCCUGGCUCCGGCUAGGGCGCGCCCGCCAGAGGACCUCAAAACCUGAAUGUUAGUGUCGUCUGAGUACUAUAUAAUAGUUAAAACUUUCAACAACGGAUCUCUUGGUUCUGGCAUCGAUGAAGAACGCAGCGAAAUGCGAUAAGUAAUGUGAAUUGCAGAAUUCAGUGAAUCAUCGAAUCUUUGAACGCAUAUUGCGCCCCUUGGUAUUCCGGGGGGCAUGCCUGUUCGAGCGUCAUUACAACCCUCAAGCUCUGCUUGGUCUUGGGCGUCACCGGUCCCCGGUGUGCCUUAAACUCAGUGGCGGCGCCAUCUGGCUCUAAGCGUAGUACAUACUCUCGCUACAGACGUCCGGUGGAUGCUGGCCAGCAACCCCCAAUUUAUCAAGGUUGACCUCGGAUCAGGUAGGGAUACCCGCUGAACUUAAGCAUAUCAAUAAGCGGAGGA
rnacentral:rRNA from 1 species